rnacentral:rRNA from 1 species
UGGGGAAUCUUCCGCAAUGGACGAAAGUCUGACGGAGCAACGCCGCGUGAGUGAUGACGGCCUUCGGGUUGUAAAGCUCUGUUAAUCGGGACGAAUGGUCCUUGUGCACAUAGUGCGAGGAUUUGACGGUACCGGAAUAGAAAGCCACGGCUAACUACGUGCCAGCAGCCGCGGUAAUACGUAGGUGGCAAGCGUUGCCCGGUAGUAUUGGGCGUAAAGCGAGCGCAGGCGGCUUGGUCAGUCUGUCUUAAAAGUUCGGGGCUUAACCCCGUGAUGGGAUGGAAACUGCCAAUCUAGAGGAUCGGAGAAGAAAGUGGAAUUCCUAGUGUAGCGGUGAAAUGCGUAGAUAUUAGGAAGAACACCAGUGGCGAAGGCGACGUUCUGGACGAAAACUGACGCUGAGGCGCGAAAGCCAGGGGAGCGAACGGG